UACUUACUCUUUAUUGAUAAUGUCUACUUCAUAGGUUUGUGUGGGGGGAAAAAGGCAGAUAUACAGUAAUCAUUAAAUUUCCUUCUUUUAUUUUUAUUUUUAUUAUUUCAGAGAAAUCCACCAUUAGCUCUUGAAAAUUUUUCCUUAACCAUGGUCUCUUGGAAAUAUUACCUUUAUGAUUGUAGUUAGUCUUAUAAGAUCCCCCAUACGGAAGCCAUAGUGAAAGCUGGAGCAAGGUGCUAUUGCAAAUAUGAAGGGUGACAUGAGGAUGUGGACUUCCCACUCAUGCAGCUUAUUCAUGUCCUCUGUUUGUGUUUUGUUCCAAGCCUGGAUAUUCUGCUUCUGAAUCUGUCCACCUCUGACUUGAUAUUCCAGCCCUUACAUGAGUGUCAACUAUAUGCUCCAUUCGUCAUCAGUAUCAUCAUCAGUAAUUACAUGCUGCAAUCAGUAUUCAUUCACUGACCUCCAAAAGAGACUAGGUAUAGAUCACAAUACAAUGGACAUAAUAGGUGUGAUUCAUCGUGUAAUCAAGAAUGGAAAAUUAACAGUAAAUUGAGGUCCAGAUGCAAAGAAACUGGCUUGUUUUCUGUGUUUACACUGUGAUUGUCAGUGACCAUUAUCUGCUGGGUCCAAGUAAUACUGGAAAUAGCUUCUUCAGGUGUUCUCUACAUUUUUAUGAGAAAUGAACAGCACUUUCAUUAUAGAAAAAAAAGAGAAAAUGUUAAAAUUUGAAAUGAAGAAGUUAUCCAUGGAAUUCUUACAUUGCUAAAAGAGAGAAGGCAAGAGCAACAAGAUAAAAACAUAAAUAAAAAAAACACCAAGAGAUUGA